GACGAACGCUGGCGGCGUGCUUAACACAUGCCAGUCGAACGGAAAGGCCCUGCUUUUGGGGGGUGCUCGAGUUGCGAACGGGUGAGUAACACGUGAGUAACCUGCCCUUGACUUUGGGAUAACUUCAGGAAACUGGGGCUAAUACCGGAUAGGAGCUCCUGCUGCAUGGUGGGGGUUGGAAAGUUUCGGCGGUUGGGGAUGGACUCGCGGCUUAUCAGCUUGUUGGUGGGGUAGUGGCUUACCAAGGCUUUGACGGGUAGCCGGGCUGAGAGGGUGACCGGCCACAUUGGGACUGAGAUACGGCCCAGACUCCUACGGGAGGCAGCAGUGGGGAAUAUUGCACAAUGGGCGGAAGCCUGAUGCAGCACCGCCGCGUGCGGGAUGACGGCCUUCGGGUUGUAAACCGCUUUCGCCUGUGACGAAGCGUGAGUGACGGUAAUGGGUAAAGAAGCACCGGCUAACUCCGUG
rnacentral:rRNA from 1 species